AUGGACAUGCCCGGACUUCCGGGCCGGCAUCGUUUCGGGGGGGGGGAGGAUUUCAACAAGAAUCUCAGCAGCGAAGCCGACAGCAGGGAUGCAGCUGCCUUCAAUUUCCUGCAGCAUGUUGUUCCCAUCAGAGGCGCUGAAGCUGCAGCAGAGGCUGAUGGAUCCGGAGUCUCCUCCGCACCGCCGGCCCGUGUAGGAAUGCUGCUCCGCUCCCAGAACCUUCGGCCCACAGACCCGCGCAGCACCACGCCUUCGUCUCCAGAGGAAAAACACCAACACGUUUCUGAUGGGACGCGUCUCCGGGAAAAGGUUCUCCCCUUUCCCGCUGAACUGGGUCCAUCUGGCUGCAAGGGCAGAUUCCGUCUCCACGGCCAGAGACGGCAAACAUCCCCGAAUGCUGAUUUCAAAAAGCAUCCUGUUUUGAAUAACAGGGGGAAAUCAGGCGCCAGUAAACAACAACACGCUGCUUCUUUUCCCAUUAGACACAUCCAUGGAAUGUCCAGAACCAGUUUCUGGUGAGAUCGGGAAGACUGUUGUUUUGUUCUCGACGGCCAAAUGUCGGCCGUGGAGGGAGACGCCGGCAGCGCUUGUGUGUGCGGGACGUCCCUGGACCUCAUUAGCUCGUGUCCUUAUUAACAGUCUCCUCGUUAUCCCCUCAGGAGGAGCCUGCUGGGAUCCUUCCCCGGUCCCCCCUCCCGUUCCCAGGCUCAUUCCCUCUCUUUCUCUUUUCCUCAACAUGGCCUCUGAACUUCACUCCAGCUUCAAAGCUCUGACAGAAGCUUCCUCUUUCGUCUCCUCAAGGUGAAGCUGGCUACACGUGCACGUGCGUCCAGAUGAGGCCGAGGCAGCUGAAACAAUUAAGCUGCGUUUGCCAGUAAUUAAUGCCCGCCUCCUCUAAUUGGGAGGUUUUAAAGUCCGACUUUGUGGUCCAGAAUGGUGUUUUUUCUUUAUUCAAAAGUCACUGUUGUUUUUCUUUCGUCAACGGUGGAAUUAUGGGGUGUUCUGUGACGACAUGAUGAGACCUCGAUGAGACAAGGAGCUGUAGACUUGGUGUUUGCAGACUGUUGUAAUAUCUGGAAUGUGGGGCGGCUAAUUGCCUUUAAUUAACUGUACUGCAGGACAGCACACUGAGAUCCUUAUUGUGAGCCCUGUAAAAAUAAAUCAUAAAACUAAAAUAUUUCCUCUUUUGGAAAAUAAGACCUGUUCCCUGUGGAGAAGGUGGCCGAACCCAGCUGGUUCCGUAGCAUGUGACUGGCUUCAGACCCACGUCUCAGACGUUCGUGGCUCCUAAUAGGUCAAAAGAUAAAACCAUUUUUUAUAGAUAGAACAAUGGUUGGGAGAGGUGAACACACACACGCGCGCGUGGUUAAAUCUACAUUUAUUAGUUAAUUUGCAAAAAUCUAGCUUCAUUUUUCGACCCCACUCAUCAGGGUGGGCAGCGCCCCAGCGCCCCCUAUCGGUCGGCCGCCGCUGCGCACCCGCCGACGGUGCCUCGGAGCACUGACAUGUCUGUUAUUUUACGUAUGUCUGUUAAACUGUACAAGCUGCCAAACAUUGCGAAAUAUCAGGUAACAGGUGUCCUUUUCUGACCUUUAACGUCCCCUGAAGGAACCGCCAUUAACCUUAAUUUAUUAAUCCUUCGGCCGUCAUUUGUUACCCCUGGACCCAGAAAAUGAGGUGGACUAGAAACCGAAGAAAAGAUUUUAAAACAAUAAAAAAAAAACAUAGUAUAGCCUCCAGAACUUUAAAUAGUAAUACAUUUCCUUGUAUCACCAGCUUGUAUUUUAACAUAAAAUCCCAAAGUUUCAAAUGUUUCAUUUUAAUUUCAUUUUAAUGACCAUUUGAAAAAUGAAAAUGAAAUGUUUUGGCUCCACAGAAGGAUGUCACCUCUAAAAAUGUAACACUUAUGACCCUUAAUUGAAAAUAAAAACCAG
rnacentral:lncRNA from 1 species